GAUGAAGAACGCAGCGAAAUGCGAUAAGUAAUGUGAAUUGCAGAUACAGUGAAUCAUCGAAUCUUUGAACGCAAAUGGCACUCUAUGGUAUUCCGUAGAGUACGUCUGUUUGAGCGUCGCGAACAUCUCCACAAUUAGUUUUUUUUUAAAAUUAGUUGAGGGUUUUGAGGUUGUCAUAUAAACAAUGACUCCCUUUAAAAUAAUUAGUGAUGACCUUAUGAAUGGGUUAAUACUGUGUGUUAUAAUGGAUUACAUCCAUCACCAGUCAGAGAGUAAUCUCGCCUUAGUAAUUUGUAGUGAUUGCUUCUAACUGCCAUUGGCAAUAACCUGAUCAAAUCGACCUCAAAUCAGAUGGGAUUACCCGCUGAACUUAAGCAUAUCAAUAAGCGGAGGA
rnacentral:misc_RNA from 1 species